rnacentral:misc_RNA from 1 species
AAGAUUUGUGUUCACGACGGGUUUGCCGGCAGCCAUCGCUUCCAGUUGAACGAUCCCAAACGCCUCGGCUUCCGUCACUGAGGGGAAUGCCAGCACCUUGGCAGCAUGAAUGUACUGUUUAACUUCGUGCGGAUGAAGGACGCCCAGAAAUUUCACCCGAUCAAGAAUGUCGAGUUCUGCCGCAAGUCUGUUGAGAUCGGCCUUGAGCUGACCUUCCCCAAUUAUAACCGCGUAAGCAUCGACUUUCUGCAUUGCGCGCAGAAAGACCUCAUAACCCUUGUAACUGACGAGCCUGCCGACCGCGACCACAAGCCUCGGGUG